rnacentral:rRNA from 1 species
CGGCGGGAGUUGGGUUAGUCCGUAACGAGCGCUACCCUUAUCCUUAUUUGCCAGCAUUGUUCGGGGCACUCAAGGAAACCCUGGAUACAACGGGAGAGGGUAAUCUCCCCGGGCCUUUAUGCGGGGUCACGGCUACGGGGGCUCACAAAGGGUCCACCCGCGGGGGAACCAUCUCAAAACCCUCCUUCAGUGGCCGCACCCUCUCCAUGAAGGUUAUUACUAAUAAGCAUCGCAUUUUUUGGGUGAAAUUUCCGGGCUGAACCCCCCCAUAAA